rnacentral:rRNA from 1 species
GACAGGGGGCCCCGAGCGUUAGUCGGAAUUACUGGGCUUAAAGGGUGCGUAGGCGGACUGGUAAGUGUCGUGUGAAAGCCCACCGCUCAACGGUGGAACCGCACGGCAUACUGCCAGUCUCGAGGAAGGUAGAGGCCGGUGGAACGAUUGGUGGAGCGGUGGAAUGCGUAGAUAUCAAUCGGAACGCCAAAGGUGAAGACAGCCGGCUGGGCCUUUCCUGACGCUGAGGCACGAAAGCGCGGGGAGCAAACAGGAUUAGAAA